rnacentral:ncRNA from 2 species
UUCUUAUCACGAGAGGUGGAGGGAUUUGGCCCUUUGAAACCUCGGCAGCAGACUCAUUCAUGAGAACUGUGCCAACUCCAACAAGCGUGAUUUCGCUUGAGAGAUAAGAA